rnacentral:rRNA from 1 species
UGUGCCAGCCAUCGCGGUAAUACAUGGAGAGCAAGCAUUGAUCAAAAUGGCUUAAAGUAUCUGUAGUACGUUAAAAUCUAUUUGUAAUAAAUAUUAUAAGUAGUUAAAUAGAAUAAUUAAAAGGUAAUAAGAAUUAAAGUAUAAGGGAUGAAAUAUGUUGAAAACUUUAAGACUGUAAAGAGAUUACUUUAAAUUAUUGACGUUGUGAGAUGAAGGCUACGGUAGCGACAUGGAUUCGAUACCCAUUUAGUCGUAGCAGAAAACAAUGAAUAUUACAAAUGUAAAUGAAAAUGAAAAAUAUUCCGCCUGAUUAGUAUGCUCGCAAGGGUGAAAUACAAGACAUUAGACGGUUGUAGUCCCAAGCAGUGGAGCAUGUUAUUUAAUUCGAUAAUCCGCCACAAAUCUUACCAUCUUUUGAAUCGGGCCGCACGCAAGCGUGCUGCUCAACAGGCGUUACAUCGUUGUCGUCAGUUCAUGCUGUAAAGUUUAAUUUUAAUUAAUUGAAUGAACGUAAACCUCAUACUUAAGUAUAUGAUUCUUUUUUCGAAGAAUGUAAGCAGGGGAUGAAGACUAAUCAUGAUGACCCUUAUAAGAUGGGCUAUCGACGUGUUACAAUAAUAUUUACAAUAUAUAUAUAUAUAAAAAAUAUUAAUUAGAUAUAAUAUCACUUAUGGAUUAUAGUCUGAAAUUCGACUAUAUGAAACAGGAAUUGCUAGUAAUCGUAAACAAGAGCGUUAUCGGUGAAAUUAAUUGCUACUUCGUACUAACCACUCAUCAACAGCUCGAAAUAUUAAGAAUAUCUCAAGGGUAUUUAUUAUAGGACAAGCUGUAAGUUGAAAUACAGUUACUGUA